UUACAAACACACAUGACAAUAUGUCACUGUUCAAUUUCAAAUGAUCACUCCUGCACAUGGCAAUUUCCCAUCAAAUUAUGAUAUAGAAAAAGCAACAGGUCGCAGAUGCUGAUAAGCAACAGUGAUUACAAGUAAAAUAAGGUCUAUUGCUGAUGAAAGUGAUGUAAGCACUCCAGUUGCAGUACUCAUUUCCGCUGUUGCAACAUUUUCCAUCUUCUGUCGUGAUAAAGAAGCUUCCCGAGCUCUGCCCCUUUUUCUACUAGGGGUUUAGCUGCAAGCAACCAUCGCCCGUCGCAUCUCCACAAUCUCCUUCUCUAACCUACUCUGUUCUUGCUUUGUUGGCCAACGUAUGGCUGCCUCUGACCUUAUGGCAUCAGCGAAGAGCAUCUUGACUUCCUCAACUCAAGGGCAUCAACAUUACCGUAGACAAUCACCACCUUAGCCCUUCCGCCCCCGCUGAUCCACUAUAAGAAUUUUCUAGGAAGGACGUGAGGAAGAUUCUGAGCGCAUUGCAGCUCGAGAAGCUCAAAGUCACACUGAGGAAAAUCCAGAGAGCUCCAUUUCUUCCUUUGAAUAUGUUGCAAUCUGUUGAAGGAUGCGAGGAUGAAGAUCAAGGCUUGGAGUUUGCCAAGAAGUUAGGUGACUCUGGAAACAUCAUCUUUUGGGGAAACAUGGUAUUUCUAUGGCUCAAGUAGGUAAUGGAUCAUGAUAAUCCUAAUUAUUGUAAUGAAUUUACCUUAAUCAAUGUUUCCUUCUUGUGUGUCUGGAUGAUACAAGAAAAAGUGGCAUCUUAUCGGAGGCGCUUGUUGCAAUUGUGGUUCCGAUUUCACUGCAAUAUGAUUUUUGUACAAAUGUCGCCGCCACGGCUAAGUUCUUUGCAGAUAACAGGAUGGUGAAGGCGGAUUUGGAGAGGUUUACACGGCCAUGCUUUCAAAUGGACAAGAAAUUCCGAUAACUUCAUGUUAUUAGUUCCAAAGAUGCACGUCACAAUUUAGAUAGGAUCAGAAGGCAUACAAGGCAAUCUUUAAAGUAUUAAACUUGUCAAGAUUUGUUAAUUACCAAAUAUCCAUAUUGCAGAUUCUGAAGUACAAAGGUUGUUAGUACAACUUCUAUGGGAAUUUAGCAAAACGAUGCUAUCUUUGUAUGCAUUUGCUUACCUUGGGGAAAAUUUAAAUGCUCGUCCUUUCUUGAUUACCUGAUUACCGCUUUCAGGGUUCGCAUGACAUGAGGUAAUUGCUGCAAGAACAAGAAUAUUGCAAUCCGCUGGCUGUUUUCUUUUUGGGUUCCCUGGAGUAGAUAUUUGGCAAUGCCUGGUGUCGGAUCCGGCAAACAUCGUGGUUCUGGUUUCCUGAGGGUGAUUGUGGUGCUGAUUCUGCAGGGUGUUGUUCUUCUGUUAUGGCUGACUUUGGCUUCUUCUACAAGCUCAAUCUCUUAGGCACAUUUCACUCUCGGUAUCAUUACUCCUCCUGCAAGCUCAAUCAGUUAGCACACAUUUGCUGAAAGGUCCUCUGAUUCUUUUGACUCCGACCACCGCUUCCGCCAAGAGACAAAUCCUCCAAACGCCGCUUUCUUUAUCUUAGAAAAUGGUUGCCACUCAUUGGGAACAUCCCCCAUCUCUCUUUUUCUUCCUGGGCUGCUCUAUUUUUCUACACUUUCAGCCAAUAUACAUGAUUUAUGUAUUUUGAAGACAUAUAUUAUCUUAAAGAGCUAAAGGCGUCAUCUUGAUCGUUUGAACCUAUGGAACAACCUGUGAACUUCGUCAUUUGGCCGCCAAGGGAUCAAGGAUUGAUGGUGAAUUAUGGCGAAGAGGAGGAGAAAUGCUAUAUCUUCUUUUGGAAGAAAGAGACAGAAUAAUCAACCUCGUACUGUAGAAGUUGCUGAGUUGCUGCCAUUGGCAUUGCUAGAGCAAGGAACCAAAGAGGCCACAGGAUCAGCUUUACAUCCAUGAAAAGGCAUAUAACAUGAUGGGACAUUUUUCUUAGGAGAGGAGGUAUAGACGGACGGAGAGAGCAUUGUGCAAUGUCUGUCACACCUCGUUACUAGAAGUGUAACCAACACAGAAUAUGAGAUACAUUCAUAUCUUUGCAGUGAAAGUUGUUACAUUUCAGCCCAUGGACCACCGAAGGAGAGAAGAAUUCCGCCCAGCACUGACAGCCUCAGAGCAGAGAUGGAAGGAAAUGAGAUGCAAUAUUUCUCCUUCACUGUGGCAUAUGGACGAGAGUGGAAAAGGAACAGACGGACGAGAGGGAGGAGGAGAGAAAGAACGAAGAAUGACAACCAAGAGGAGAGAAGGAAUGAAGAACGAUGGCGAGGAGGAGAGAAGGUUGAGAAUGCGUGAAGAUUUUGAAAUUUCUCGAUGCUCUGGAGCUUUAAUCGUAGAGGAUAGAAGAAAUAUUUAAGUAUUAGGAAAUUGAGAAUGUUACCAAAUAGAGCAUAAGGAAAAUUACAAAAAAGAACACAAUAAAAUUACGAAAAUGGCACAAAUUUUUUUAUAAAUUAAAACAAAAUAACACUAAACUUUUGCUUGAUAAAAUUUGAACUCUAAAUCUUUAAGAAAAUUACUAGCAUAAUUUUCACUAACCUACUACUCUUCAAUUAUUAUAAAAUUAGUUUAAAUAAAUGCCAAUUAAAAGAACUUUUUUUUUUGGAGUCAUUGCAAAUGUAGUCUGAAACUUCCUGAUUUUUUUUCUUUUAUUGCUUGACUUGUAUCCGGGCAGCAUGAAGAGCUAUUCCUAAAUCCUAACUUGUAGCUGGAUUUGAUUUUUCUUUCAUUCUUCAUUUGUCAUAUUGUGAAAGUUUUACAGCUGAUUUUUUUCGUCAUUGAUAUUUUAAAGCUCAGGUUUAUGCAUAUUA